rnacentral:lncRNA from 1 species
GCAUCUCUGCGUGUACUUGCGGUAGUCCGCACGGGUCACGCUUUGAUUCAACAAAAAAUAACAUUAUAAGUUGAAAUAUAGAGGAAUUUUAUAGAGUUUGAAUGAUUGUAUGGUAACCUUUUACCCAAGCAAGGGGCCUGUUAAUAUUUAAUACUUAUCUUCAUUGAACCCAUGUGUCUAACGGUUCUGACCAUGACUGAAAUGCCCUUAACGCACACAACUAAGCGGGCUGAAUGUCACAGCUUGUUAGAAGGAGCCGCUAAGGCAAAGCCAAUAAGAAAAGUAUCGAAUCUGCCUGUACCACCAUCUCGGAACCAAGCCAAAAAAUCUUUAUAAAAUUUCUUUAUAUUUUGAUGAGUCUAGAUCUUUCAUAGUUAUUAAGCAAAAGAAGUUAGAAAUCCUUCAUAGACAUGAAUCAUCUUAGCCAGACAUAUUCACGGCUUAGAGAGAGGGGAAUAAAUUAAAAACAAAAAAAGAAAGUAAAUACCUUAAGGCCAAUGGCCCUAUCAUUCGAACUGGUGGACUUGUAUUAAUCUUCAGAAUAAUUACAAAAGAAAGAGAUAAAUACUAGAAAUUUAGAGAGAGACUAGAGAGAGAGG